rnacentral:rRNA from 1 species
GACGAACGCUGGCGGCGCGACUAACACAUGCAAGUCGAGCGAAGCGGCGAACGGGUGAGUAACGCGUGAGGAACCUGCCUCUCACAACGGGAUAGCCUCGGGAAACCGGGAUUAAUACCGUAUGGUGAGAGAUGGCCUCGCGUCUGAUGAGUUAGUUGGUGGGGUAACGGCCUUCCAAGACGACGAUCAGUAACCGGCCUGUGAGGGUGAACGGUCACAUUUGAACUGAGGUACGGUCCAAACUCCUACGGGAGGCAGCCGUGGGGAAUCUUGCACAAUGGGGGGAACCCUGAUGCAGCGACGCCGCGUGAGCGUGGAAGGUUUUCGAAUCGUAAAGCUCUGUCCUAUGGGAAGCGGUACCAUAGGAGGAAGCCCCGGCUAACUACGUGCCAGCCGCCGCGGUAAUUC